rnacentral:rRNA from 2 species
UAGAGUUUUGAUCUGGCUCAGGACGAACGCUGGCGGCGUGCCUAAUACAUGCAAGUCGAACGAACUCUGGUAUUGAUUGGUGCUUGCAUCAUGAUUUACAUUUGAGUGAGUGGCGAACUGGUGAGUAACACGUGGGAAACCUGCCCAGAAGCGGGGGAUAACACCUGGAAACAGAUGCUAAUACCGCAUAACAACUUGGACCGCAUGGUCCGAGUUUGAAAGAUGGCUUCGGCUAUCACUUUUGGAUGGUCCCGCGGCGUAUUAGCUAGAUGGUGAGGUAACGGCUCACCAUGGCAAUGAUACGUAGCCGACCUGAGAGGGUAAUCGGCCACAUUGGGACUGAGACACGGCCCAAACUCCUACGGGAGGCAGCAGUAGGGAAUCUUCCACAAUGGACGAAAGUCUGAUGGAGCAACGCCGCGUGAGUGAAGAAGGGUUUCGGCUCGUAAAACUCUGUUGUUAAAGAAGAACAUAUCUGAGAGUAACUGUUCAGGUAUUGACGGUAUUUAACCAGAAAGCCACGGCUAACUACGUGCCAGCAGCCGCGGUAAUACGUAGGUGGCAAGCGUUGUCCGGAUUUAUUGGGCGUAAAGCGAGCGCAGGCGGUUUUUUAAGUCUGAUGUGAAAGCCUUCGGCUCAACCGAAGAAGUGCAUCGGAAACUGGGAAACUUGAGUGCAGAAGAGGACAGUGGAACUCCAUGUGUAGCGGUGAAAUGCGUAGAUAUAUGGAAGAACACCAGUGGCGAAGGCGGCUGUCUGGUCUGUAACUGACGCUGAGGCUCGAAAGUAUGGGUAGCAAACAGGAUUAGAUACCCUGGUAGUCCAUACCGUAAACGAUGAAUGCUAAGUGUUGGAGGGUUUCCGCCCUUCAGUGCUGCAGCUAACGCAUUAAGCAUUCCGCCUGGGGAGUACGGCCGCAAGGCUGAAACUCAAAGGAAUUGACGGGGGCCCGCACAAGCGGUGGAGCAUGUGGUUUAAUUCGAAGCUACGCGAAGAACCUUACCAGGUCUUGACAUACUAUGCAAAUCUAAGAGAUUAGACGUUCCCUUCGGGGACAUGGAUACAGGUGGUGCAUGGUUGUCGUCAGCUCGUGUCGUGAGAUGUUGGGUUAAGUCCCGCAACGAGCGCAACCCUUAUUAUCAGUUGCCAGCAUUAAGUUGGGCACUCUGGUGAGACUGCCGGUGACAAACCGGAGGAAGGUGGGGAUGACGUCAAAUCAUCAUGCCCCUUAUGACCUGGGCUACACACGUGCUACAAUGGAUGGUACAACGAGUUGCGAACUCGCGAGAGUAAGCUAAUCUCUUAAAGCCAUUCUCAGUUCGGAUUGUAGGCUGCAACUCGCCUACAUGAAGUCGGAAUCGCUAGUAAUCGCGGAUCAGCAUGCCGCGGUGAAUACGUUCCCGGGCCUUGUACACACCGCCCGUCACACCAUGAGAGUUUGUAACACCCAAAGUCGGUGGGGUAACCUUUUAGGAACCAGCCGCCUAAGGUGGGACAGAUGAUUAGGGUGAAUC